rnacentral:rRNA from 1 species
AUCUCUCCUAAAGCUAAAUACUGGCGUAAGACCGAUAGCGAACAAGUACCGUGAGGGAAAGAUGAAAAGGACUUUGAAAAGAGGGUCAAAUAGUACGUGAAAUUGUUGAAAGGGAACCGUAUGAAAGUAGACUGGCUUGGUGAUGAUCAAUGUGUGUUUCGGCACGCAUGCACUCAUUGCCUUUGCCAGCCAGCGGCAGUUUUUGCUAAAGGAAGAAAAUCAGGGGAAUGUGGCUUCGACUUCGGUUGAAGUGUUAUAGCUCCUGGUAAAAUACUUUGGCAGAGACUGAGGCUAGCAGUGGGUUUUUGGGAACUUUGCGCGCUUGUCGUCCAAUGGUCAAGUUUUCUUCGGAUGCUUGGUUAUUGGGUGGCAACUCGUGUGAUGCUUCACCCUCCCGCUUAGGUCGCUGGCGUAAUGCUUUUAUAUGACCCGUCUUGAAACACGGACCAAGGAGUCCACGUAUAGAGCGAGUCGUUGGGUGGCAAACCCAAAGGCGAAGUGAAAGCGAUUGGGAAGAAACUGUAACAGGUGGCACUCCCGGGGGGAUAUGACGUUUUAUACAGAUUGACCUCACCCAAAGCUCUAUGCAUGGGACCCGAAAGAUGGUGAACUAUACUUGAAUAGGGUGAAGCCAGAGGAAACUCUGGUGGAAGCUCGUAGCGAUUCUGACGUGCCAAUCGAUCGUCGAAUUUGAGUAUAGGGGCGAAAGACUAAUCGAACAUCUAGUAACUGGUCCUGCCGAAUUC